rnacentral:rRNA from 1 species
UACGGGGGAUGCAAGCGUUAUCCGGAAUUAUUGGGCGUAAAGGGUCCUGAGGUGGCUAGCCAAGUCUAUUGUGAAAUAUCAGGGCUUAACCCUGAACAUGCGGUGGAAACUAGAAAGCUUGAGUACAGUAGGGGCGGAGGGAAUUUCCGGUGGAGCGGUGAAAUGCAUAGAUAUCGGGAAGAACACCAACGGCGAAAGCACUCCGCUGGGCCGACACUGACACUGAGAGACGAAAGCUAGGGGAGCGAAUGGG